rnacentral:rRNA from 1 species
UACGAAGGGGGCUAGCGUUGCUCGGAAUCACUGGGCGUAAAGGGUGCGUAGGCGGUUCUUUAAGUCAGGGGUGAAAUCCUGGAGCUCAACUCCAGAACUGCCUUUGAUACUGAAGAUCUUGAGUUCGGGAGAGGUGAGUGGAACUGCGAGUGUAGAGGUGAAAUUCGUAGAUAUUCGGAGGAACACCAGUGGCGAAGGCGGCUCACUGGUCCGGUACUGACGCUGAGGUGCGAAAGCGUGGGGAGCAAACAGG